rnacentral:misc_RNA from 1 species
AACCUUAUGGACCUGCGGGCGUAUACCUGCGGAGGGAUCAUUAUCAAAACAGCGGCCUUCGGGCCUUGCUGCACCCUUGUCUUUUGCGCACCGUAUUGUUUCCUCGGCGGGCUUGCCUGCCGGUUGGACAUUAUCAAACCUUUUUGUAGUUGCAAUCAGCGUCAGAAAAACAAUAAUUAUUACAACUUUCAGCAACGGAUCU